rnacentral:snRNA from 1 species
GAACUUACUGGAAGGGGAGAUACCAUGAUCAUGAAGGUGAUUUUCCUAGGGUGAGGCUUCUCUAUUACAUUCCAGAUGUGCUGACCCCUGCCAGUUCCCCAAAUGUGGGAAACUUGACUGUGUAAUUUGUGGUAGUGGGGACUGCGUUUGCACUCUCAU